GACGAACGCUGGCGGCGUGCUUAACACAUGCAAGUCGAACGGAAAGGCCCUGCUUUUGUGGGGUGCUCGAGUGGCGAACGGGUGAGUAACACGUGAGUAACCUGCCCUUGACUUUGGGAUAACUUCAGGAAACUGGGGCUAAUACCGGAUAGGAGCUCCUGCUGCAUGGUGGGGGCUGGAAAGUUUCGGCGGUUGGGGAUGGACUCGCGGCUUAUCAGCUUGUUGGUGGGGUAGUGGCUUACCAAGGCUUUGACGGGUAGCCGGCCUGAGAGGGUGACCGGCCACAUUGGGACUGAGAUACGGCCCAGACUCCUACGGGAGGUAGCAGUGGGGAAUAUUGCACAAUGGGCGGAAGCCUGAUGCAGCAACGCCGCGUGCGGGAUGACGGCCUUCGGGUUGUAAACCGCUUUCGCCUGUGACGAAGCGUGAGUGACGGUAAUGGGUAAAGAAGCACCGGCUAACUACGUG
rnacentral:rRNA from 1 species